rnacentral:rRNA from 1 species
UUAAGCGACUAAGCGUACACGGUGGAUGCCCUGGCAGUCAGAGGCGAUGAAGGACGUGCUAAUCUGCGAUAAGCGUCGGUAAGGUGAUAUGAACCGUUAUAACCGGCGAUUUCCGAAUGGGGAAACCCAGUGUGAUUCGUCACACUAUCAUUAACUGAAUCCAUAGGUUAAUGAGGCGAACCGGGGGAACUGAAACAUCUAAGUACCCCGAGGAAAAGAAAUCAACCGAGAUUCCCCCAGUAGCGGCGAGCGAACGGGGAGCAGCCCAGAGCCUGAAUCAGUGUGUGUGUUAGUGGAAGCGUCUGGAAAGGCGUGCGAUACAGGGUGACAGCCCCGUACACAAAAAUGCACAUAUUGUGAGCUCGAUGAGUAGGGCGGGACACGUGGUAUCCUGUCUGAAUAUGGGGGGACCAUCCUCCAAGGCUAAAUACUCCUGACUGACCGAUAGUGAACCAGUACCGUGAGGGAAAGGCGAAAAGAACCCCGGCGAGGGGAGUGAAAAAGAACCUGAAACCGUGUACGUACAAGCAGUGGGAGCACGCUUAGGCGUGUGACUGCGUACCUUUUGUAUAAUGGGUCAGCGACUUAUAUUCUGUAGCAAGGUUAACCGAAUAGGGGAGCCGAAGGGAAACCGAGUCUUAACUGGGCGUUAAGUUGCAGGGUAUAGACCCGAAACCCGGUGAUCUAGCCAUGGGCAGGUUGAAGGUUGGGUAACACUAACUGGAGGACCGAACCGACUAAUGUUGAAAAAUUAGCGGAUGACUUGUGGCUGGGGUGAAAGGCCAAUCAAACCGGGAGAUAGCUGGUUCUCCCGAAAGCUAUUUAGGUAGCGCCUCGUGAAUUCAUCUCCGGGGGUAGAGCACUGUUUCGGCAAGGGGGUCAUCCCGACUUACCAACCCGAUGCAAACUGCGAAUACCGGAGAAUGUUAUCACGGGAGACACACGGCGGGUGCUAACGUCCGUCGUGAAGAGGGAAACAACCCAGACCGCCAGCUAAGGUCCCAAAGUCAUGGUUAAGUGGGAAACGAUGUGGGAAGGCCCAGACAGCCAGGAUGUUGGCUUAGAAGCAGCCAUCAUUUAAAGAAAGCGUAAUAGCUCACUGGUCGAGUCGGCCUGCGCGGAAGAUGUAACGGGGCUAAACCAUGCACCGAAGCUGCGGCAGCGACACUAUGUGUUGUUGGGUAGGGGAGCGUUCUGUAAGCCUGUGAAGGUGUACUGUGAGGUAUGCUGGAGGUAUCAGAAGUGCGAAUGCUGACAUAAGUAACGAUAAAGCGGGUGAAAAGCCCGCUCGCCGGAAGACCAAGGGUUCCUGUCCAACGUUAAUCGGGCAGGGUGAGUCGACUCCUAAGGCGAGGCCGAAAGGCGUAGUCGAUGGGAAACAGGUUAAUAUUCCUGUACUUGGUGUUACUGCGAAGGGGGACGGAGAAGGCUAUGUUGGCCGGGCGACGGUUGUCCCGGUUUAAGCGUGUAGGCUGGUUUUCCAGGCAAAUCCGGAAAACUAAGGCUGAGGCGUGAUGACGAGGCACUACGGUGCUGAAGCAACAAAUGCCCUGCUUCCAGGAAAAGCCUCUAAGCAUCAGGUAACAUCAAAUCGUACCCCAAACCGACACAGGUGGUCAGGUAGAGAAUACCAAGGCGCUUGAGAGAACUCGGGUGAAGGAACUAGGCAAAAUGGUGCCGUAACUUCGGGAGAAGGCACGCUGAUAUGUAGGUGAAGUCCCUCGCGGAUGGAGCUGAAAUCAGUCGAAGAUACCAGCUGGCUGCAACUGUUUAUUAAAAACACAGCACUGUGCAAACACGAAAGUGGACGUAUACGGUGUGACGCCUGCCCGGUGCCGGAAGGUUAAUUGAUGGGGUCAGCGCAAGCGAAGCUCUUGAUCGAAGCCCCGGUAAACGGCGGCCGUAACUAUAACGGUCCUAAGGUAGCGAAAUUCCUUGUCGGGUAAGUUCCGACCUGCACGAAUGGCGUAAUGAUGGCCAGGCUGUCUCCACCCGAGACUCAGUGAAAUUGAACUCGCUGUGAAGAUGCAGUGUACCCGCGGCAAGACGGAAAGACCCCGUGAACCUUUACUAUAGCUUGACACUGAACAUUGAGCCUUGAUGUGUAGGAUAGGUGGGAGGCUUUGAAGUGUGGACGCCAGUCUGCAUGGAGCCGACCUUGAAAUACCACCCUUUAAUGUUUGAUGUUCUAACGUUGACCCGUAAUCCGGGUUGCGGACAGUGUCUGGUGGGUAGUUUGACUGGGGCGGUCUCCUCCUAAAGAGUAACGGAGGAGCACGAAGGUUGGCUAAUCCUGGUCGGACAUCAGGAGGUUAGUGCAAUGGCAUAAGCCAGCUUGACUGCGAGCGUGACGGCGCGAGCAGGUGCGAAAGCAGGUCAUAGUGAUCCGGUGGUUCUGAAUGGAAGGGCCAUCGCUCAACGGAUAAAAGGUACUCCGGGGAUAACAGGCUGAUACCGCCCAAGAGUUCAUAUCGACGGCGGUGUUUGGCACCUCGAUGUCGGCUCAUCACAUCCUGGGGCUGAAGUAGGUCCCAAGGGUAUGGCUGUUCGCCAUUUAAAGUGGUACGCGAGCUGGGUUUAGAACGUCGUGAGACAGUUCGGUCCCUAUCUGCCGUGGGCGCUGGAGAACUGAGGGGGGCUGCUCCUAGUACGAGAGGACCGGAGUGGACGCAUCACUGGUGUUCGGGUUGUCAUGCCAAUGGCACUGCCCGGUAGCUAAAUGCGGAAGAGAUAAGUGCUGAAAGCAUCUAAGCACGAAACUUGCCCGAGAUGAGUUCUCCCUGACUCCUUGAGAGUCCUGAAGGAACGUUGAAGACGACGACGUUGAUAGGCCGGGUGUGUAAGCGCAGCGAUGCGUUGAGCUAACCGGUACUAAUGAACCGUGAGGCUUAACCUU